GAGUGGGAGUUAUCUAUGGAGGUGACUUAAGCACAAGCAAAGGGAAGAGAGGGCAAUCCAGCCGUGCUGGAAUCCAAGGCGAGGGAGCCAAGCAGCUGUGCGUCUGAGCAAGCAAGCCUUGCUUUCCAAUUACGGCGCCAGACAAAGAGCCUGCGCUCAGCACCCGCCGUGUCUGUCUCCAAACCCAAACCCACCCGCCAAAAUAGAAAGAGAAACGAAUCCGCAUCAGCAGAAGGAUAAAAAUAUCCCAGCUCCACCUCUCCGCAUCAGCCGGGUUUCUGGGGAUUCCCUUUCGUCUGUGAUCUGAGGAUCUCCAAGCUUUUGACACACACGAGGCUUCACAAUGUGCUUGGCAGCUGAUCAGCUGCUAUAGGCAUCAGGAAGGACACUUGCACCCCAUAUCCUACCUCCCGCCGCCUCUGGAAAAGCUUGGUCCAUUACUGGCUAUUUCCUCUAAAGCAUCAGGUAGUGAUGGCUGUGGAAAGCCCUCUUGACGGACCAACAGUCUGAUGCGAUCUGACAAAUCCUGCGUUCCUCCAUCCGUGGCCACAUCUUCGGGUGCAGAGAGGAAUAUCACCAUAGCCAUCGCGUCAGUCCACACCACUCUACCCUCAUGGACACAGGAUCCACCCCACGGUCCUGUCCAGCCUUCCCAGCCAGAACACGCUUCCCCCUGCCUGCCUUCGCC